UACGAAGGUCCCAAGCGUUAUCCGGAUUUAUUGGGUUUAAAGGGUGCGUAGGCGGAUUAUUAAGUCAGUGGUGAAAGCCUUCAGCUUAACUGAAGAACUGCCAUUGAUACUGAUGAUCUUGAGUAUGAUUGAGGCGGGCGGAAUGUGUCAUGUAGCGGUGAAAUGCUUAGAUAUCUGGAGGAACACCGGUGGCGAAGGCGCCACUCUGGGCCGUAACUGACGCUGAGGAGCGAAAGCGUGGGUAGCAAACAGG
rnacentral:rRNA from 1 species